CCUAUCCACUUUUUUCUUGUCUAUUUCUUUUAUAUACAUUUAGAUAUUAAGAGUGAGGAGUUGGUCUUUUUCCCACGACUCCGGGAAAAUGGCAGAUGCUGCAGCGGCAUCUUGGGAGUACGUUUCUGGAAUGGUAAUGGGGAUUGUUUCUUGCGCUGGACUCCACCAGUAGCCGAGUGUUAAGACCGCUGAACAGUUGGAAUUCGACACGGAUUCGAUCCUGGGUGAACGAGCUGGCUGCGUGGUUGAUUUUCGUCGUUUUCCCCAUGUGCAAAGUAAAUACGAGACAGUUCCCAGACCCCCGGCAUGUGUAAUGUGAAUACGAGACAGUUCUCAGACCUUCACCUGAGGCAAAGCGUAAUAUAGUUAAAUACGCGCCCCUAUAUAGAGUAAAAUUAACCAUUAUAUUCAUCAAAGGCCUUCCGGUUUGUGAAGAUAUCUUAUUUUAAAAGAUUCGAGGAUUUUUGACUGAUUUACAAGCAUUUUAGGAUUUCAAGUGUACUCAGGAGCUCAUUUGCAUACGAUCUUGAAGUUUUGGCCUGCAUUACUUUACACCGAUCUGGUAAAGUACUUUUGCUUUGAUAUUUUGUUUCUUCACACCUUGUACUAUCUGCAUAGUGAAUUUGAUUCAUUUUCAAGGCCUUUUUUUAAAAUUAUUUGUAUUUUAAAUUUUGAGUUACGUUUUGUUUGGGUUUGAGCCUUGUGAUUUUGCACCACGGGCAUGUCAACUU